GAACUCUGGAAUUACCAAAGUAUGUGGAGAGGAAACGAAAAUUUGGGUCUCCGUUGUCCAAAACCCAGUCUUUGCAGGCCCGCCAAUGGUCCAUAAGCCCGGUGAGGAUUACGGGCUGGUUUUUAACCAGGUAUUUUUCAACAAAAUCGGUGUAACUCAGUAGUUUCCCGUCCACCUUUUCCACUUCGCCUCCGAUUUUCAGACCCAUUUUACAUUCAUCAAAUCUGUAAACUUCCACUUUGAUCGUCUAGGAGCACCGGGCACGUUUGAUUCCGUAGGUAAGAGGUGCUUCACUGCUCAAUUUCACCAAGCUACUGAAGUCCCUGAAUAUUUUCAUGUUCAUUUACCUUUCACUCCGUUGGUAACGCUAAAAGAAAAUUGCAACAGAGGUCCCUAGGCUUUAAGAAAAGUGCAAAUAUAUUUCUAACUUCCAAACCUUAGCAUCAUAAUCUCCAACUUUUCAUUAAUGCAGCGUAAGAAAUCUUUGUAAACAAAAUCCAUCUGAUCCGAUGUUAAAUAGGCACAUGAUAUAUUGUUAAAAAAAAAUUGUAUUUUAUUUAUAAUUCAAAAUGAAAAAAAGACAAAAAAAAAAAAAAAGUUUCUCAAACAUCACCAUCAGCAUAAAAUAAUCACUGUUUCCCAACAUAUCGCACGGUCGUUUAUUUCAUAUAGGGAUUAUUUAAUAAUUUUUAAUAAAAAUUAAUGAAUUAUGAAUCUCAUAUAUGAAUUGUGUUAUUAAAACUAAAAUUGAUUAGUUGAAUAAAUUUUUUGUUAAAGUCUUAUCAAACAAACACUUUGGUAUUGAUUUUUCUCCCCAAAAAAUCAAUUUUGUAAUCGUUAUUUCAUUAUUCCAACGGUUAUAUUUUACUUCUUCUCUUACAGGUAAAAUCCACUUUUCUCUCUAACGAACAAAAAAUCAGUUAUCACUAUCAAACAAGCCCUUAAUUAUUUAUUUUUAAGCUUUUAGAUAAAGUAAUUCAAGAUGUAUCACAAUUGGUAGAAAAACAACAACCUUAUCUUCCAAAAUUGCUCUUGCACAUGACAUGUCAGACAAUUUUCCCAUUAGAUUCUCUUUAGUUUAAAAAUCAAAGGAUGAUUCCACACUAGCAUAUAGAUAGAAAAUCAUUAAAAAAAAAGAACAAGAAGAAGAAGAAGAAGAAAGAAAGAAAGUUUCACAGCACACCUUAACAAAAUGCCAAUCCUUCAAAUACAAUAGUGAAUUGCCAUCAGACCCACUAUCCUUCCUAGCAGCAGAAAGCUGAGUCCAUUGAUCAAUGAACUCCGAAACCGACAUUUCCAUCCUUUUCUGGUCCGUAAAUUCCCUCAUUCCACAAUCCGCAACCUACAUAUAAAUUCAUAUUCCAUAGCAUCAAAUUUUUCCAGAAAAAAACAAAAAAAAUAAAGAUAGAAAGAGCUUCCAUACUGAACCCCACAAAACAAUGUCGUAGGGUAUGAUUACCUGAACUCUGGAAUUACCAAAGUAUGUGGAGAGGAAACGAAAAUUUGGGUCUCCGUUGUCCAAAACCCAGUCUUUGCAGGCCCGCCAAUGGUCCAUAAGCCCGGUGAGGAUUACGGGCUGGUUUUUAACCAGGUAUUUUUCAACAAAAUCGGUGUAACUCAGUAGUUUCCCGUCCACCUUUUCCACUUCGCCUCCGAUUUUCAGACCCAUUUUACAUACAUCAAAUCUGUAAACUUCCACUUUGAUCGUCUAGGAGCACCGGGCACGUUUGAUUCCGUAGGUAAGAGGUGCUUCACUGCUCAAUUUCACCAAGCUACUGAAGUCCCUGAAUAUUUUCAUGUUCAU
rnacentral:lncRNA from 1 species